rfam:Polaribacter reichenbachii strain KCTC 23969 LPB301_35, whole genome shotgun sequence.
AGUUAGCAAUACGCGUUAAGGAUUGAAACGACAUCCUUUUUUCUUUUUCAGAAAAAAGAUAUAGUGUAAAGCCUGACCUGAA